rnacentral:lncRNA from 1 species
CUCUAAAUAAUUUUUAGUAAUUUUAAUUUUUCCCUAAUCCCUAAUCAGUAGGCUUUGGCCUCUACUGAAAAGGUCUGGUUAGGUCGAACCAUUAACAUGACCAUACUUGGCCCAUCUAGCCAAUGAAUGAUUAGGCCCAACUUUGGUUGGCUAACCUAACCACCAUUUAGAAAGAUGUAGUCAAGAAAUCAUAUUAUGAAUGAUAAUUCCAUC